rfam:Gossypium raimondii chromosome 2, whole genome shotgun sequence.
GUGGCAGGGAUAGUGUGUAUCAGCAUCGUGCUGCAAUUAAUGCACUCUGUUUCCGAAAGAGUUCCCUGCAAAAUCAAUUGUAAGAGGAAGAUGGGCAGUUGUAUUUCAUCCUAAUAAUUAGAAAUAUCAACAAUCAUCUGCCUGACAUCA